AUUUGUCAGCGAAAAGCGGAAGCCGAAGCUUCGAGAAUCAUACACAGAUCAUUCUUCAAGCUUCCAUUGCUUCAUCGCCAAGCACUAAGCAGUUCAUCUUCUUCCAUCUCUCUCAAUUCCGAAUUUGUGAACCAAAGCUUCUUCUAGUUCCUUCUCUUCCAUCGGAGUAAUGGCGAGCAGAAGAGCUUCGAAGCUCUCCAGGUCCGCUUUAGCCGCCAUUAAUGGCGCCCCCAAGCUUCCUCAUUCUCGCAUGCCUGCACUGUCGCGUUCUUCAUCUUCUGCUCUUGCUAAUUCCGCCGCUCCUCUCUCUGUGCGCAAGGUUUUCGGUUCCGGACUCGUUCAUGGCGGUUCAAGUCUGGCUUCGGCCAAGUAUUUGGCUACGAUUUUCACUCGCGAUUUUCAUUCCACGUCUCCAUCUCGCUACUCUGCUACGGCUUCUUCUCAGAUUAACCAGUCGGAUUUCACAGAGAUGGCUUGGGAAGGCAUAGUUGGUGCUGUUGAUACUGCAAGGUUAAAUAAACAACAAGUCGUGGAGAGUGAACAUUUGAUGAAAGCGCUUCUUGAACAAAAGGAUGGUUUAGCAAGGAGAAUAUUUGCUAAGGCCGGGCUUGACAACACGUCGGUUUUACAGGCUACCAUUGAUUUUAUAUCUCAACAGCCAAAGGUAAUAGGUGAAACUAGUGGGCCGAUAAUAGGUACACAUCUAAGUUUGAUUUUGGACAAUGCUAGAACACACAAAAAAGAAAUUGGAGACGAUUUUCUUUCGGUGGAGCAUCUUGUGUUAGCCUUCCAUUCAGACAAGAGAUUUGGGCAGCAACUGUUUAAGAACUUGCAACUUAGUGAAAAGGAUUUGAAGGAUGCUGUUUUGGCUGUUCGUGGAAAUCAGAGAGUAACUGAUCAAAAUCCUGAAGGAAAAUAUGAAGCUCUUGACAAGUACGGGACUGACUUGACUGAAUUUGCUAGACGUGGUAAACUUGAUCCUGUUAUAGGAAGAGAUGACGAAAUACGACGGUGCGUCCAAAUUCUAUCAAGGAGAACAAAAAACAAUCCAGUGAUCAUUGGUGAGCCAGGUGUUGGGAAAACUGCAAUUGCUGAAGGAUUAGCUCAACGAAUUGUGCGCGGGGAUGUUCCAGAACCAUUGUUGAAUAGAAAGUUGAUAUCUCUGGACAUGGGUUCACUGGUUGCCGGUGCGAAAUACCGCGGAGAUUUUGAAGAAAGAUUGAAGGCUGUACUGAAAGAAGUUACCGCGUCAAAUGGGCAAAUUAUCUUGUUCAUAGAUGAGAUUCAUACCGUUGUUGGUGCAGGGGCUACGGGUGGUGCCAUGGAUGCUGGCAACCUCUUGAAACCCAUGCUCGGUCGAGGUGAACUUCGCUGUAUCGGUGCAACUACAUUGAAGGAGUAUCGAAAAUACAUCGAGAAAGAUCCAGCUCUUGAACGUAGAUUUCAACAAGUGUUUUGUGGUCAACCAUCUGUUGAAGACACAAUCUCUAUUCUUCGUGGGUUACGAGAGCGCUAUGAGCUGCACCAUGGUGUAAAGAUAUCGGAUAGUGCACUUGUUUCCGCAGCCGUUCUAGCGAGCAGAUACAUCACAGAACGAUUUUUGCCUGACAAAGCCAUUGACCUUGUUGAUGAAGCUGCUGCAAAGUUGAAGAUGGAGAUUACGUCUAAGCCCACCGAGUUGGAUGAGAUUGAUAGAGUUGUUUUAAAGUUGGAGAUGGAGAAGCUAUCCCUAAAAAAUGAUACUGAUAAAGCAAGCAAAGAAAGAUUAAGCAAAUUGGAGCAAGAUUUGAACUCACUCAAGCAAAAACAAAAAGAGUUGACGGAACAAUGGGAUCGUGAAAAGUCUUUUAUGGCUCGUAUACGAUCUAUCAAGGAAGAGAUUGAUAGAGUUAACCUUGAGAUGGAAGCUGCUGAAAGAGAGUUUGAUUUGAAUCGUGCUGCUGAGCUCAAAUAUGGAACUCUCAUAUCCCUUAAUCGCCAAUUGGAAGAGGCUGAAAAGAACCUUCAAGACUUUCGAAAGUCUGGAAUUUCUUUACUUCGUGAAGAGGUCACAGAUCUUGAUAUUGCUGAAAUUGUAAGCAAAUGGACUGGCAUACCCCUAUCAAACCUUCAACAAUCUGAGAGAGAUAAACUAGUUCUACUAGAACAAGUCCUCCACCAAAGAGUGGUUGGUCAAGAUAUCGCAGUAAAAUCAGUUGCAGAUGCCAUUCGACGUUCAAGAGCCGGACUCUCCGAUCCAAAUCGACCAAUAGCUAGUUUCAUGUUCAUGGGACCGACUGGUGUUGGAAAAACUGAGCUUGCAAAAGCUUUGGCAGGUUAUCUUUUUAACACCGAAAAUGCUCUAGUUAGGAUUGAUAUGAGCGAAUACAUGGAGAAGCAUGCUGUAUCCCGUUUGGUUGGGGCACCACCUGGUUAUGUUGGUUAUGAAGAAGGGGGCCAGCUCACUGAAGUGGUUCGUCGAAGGCCUUACUCUGUGGUGCUUUUCGAUGAGAUUGAGAAGGCACAUCACGACGUCUUCAAUAUUUUGCUACAACUACUAGAUGAUGGGAGGAUAACUGACUCACAGGGCAGAACAGUGAGUUUUACAAAUUGUGUGAUGAUAAUGACAUCCAAUAUUGGUUCCCACUACAUCCUUGAAACUCUUAGUAACACAAAAGAUAGUAAAGAUGCAGUUUAUGAGUUGAUGAAAAAACAAGUUGUUGGGUUGGCAAGACAAACUUUUCGGCCAGAGUUUAUGAAUAGAAUUGAUGAAUACAUUGUCUUCCAACCUUUGGACGCUACCCAAAUAUGCAAGAUUGUUGAGAUUCAGAUUAAACGAUUGAGUGAUAGGCUAAAACAGAAGAACAUUAAUCUUCAGUACACUCAAGACGCUCUUGAGCUUCUAGGGAUGUUGGGUUUCGACCCCAAUUAUGGAGCAAGGCCAGUUAAAAGGGUAAUACAACAACUGGUAGAAAAUGAGAUCGCAAUGCAAGUUUUGAGAGGCGAUUUCUCGGAAGAUGACUCGAUACUUCUCGAUGUGGAUGCGUCUCCAUCAGCCAAAGACCUACCUCCCCAAAAAAGAUUGCUGAUCAAGAAAAUAGCGAGCAAUUCUGCCCCAGAUGUUAUGGUUGCCAAUAACUAAUUGCAUGCGGGAUCGAGUAACGUGUAACACAGGCUUCUCAAGAACACAGUUGCCUUCAAACUUGUCGACUUCCCGGCCAUCAGUGACACGUCUUCGAAGUCGAAAAACUGCUUCACCGAAUGAUUGUGGUCGUCGAAAGAGAAAUAACUAAAUUGGUGGGCCUUAGUCGGAGAUAUAUGCCAACUACAAUUGAGUUAUUCUCGAGUUCAUGCCGAUUAUAACAAAAUAUAGUUGAAGACCAGGAAUGGGAGUCCAAUUCAAGUGGGGGUGGCUUUGAUUUAAUUUCCAUCCGUCUCCUAUCAAAAAUUUGACAUUUUAAAAGAUGGAAAAAAAAUCAAUAGGCUCUCUUU